UUAAAUGAAGUUGACGGGGGCCCGCACAAGCGGUGGAGUAUGUGGUUUAAUUCGACGCAACGCGAAGAACCUUACCGGGGUUUGACAUGCAGGUGAUCGCCCGUUGAAAGACGGUUUCUCUUCGGAGGCACCUGCACAGGUGCUGCAUGGCUGUCGUCAGCUCGUGUCGUGAGAUGUUGGGUUAAGUCCCGCAACGAGCGCAACCCUUAUCCCCAGUUGCCAUCAGGUAAAGCUGGGAACUCUGGGGAGACUGCCGGUGAUAAACCGGAGGAAGGCGGGGAUGACGUCAAGUCCUCAUGGCCCUUACACCCCGGGCUACACACGUGCUACAAUGGCAGGUACAGAGGGCUGCGAAGCCGCGAGGUGGAGCGAAUCCCAGAAAACCUGUCUCAGUCCGGAUUGAAGUCUGCAACUCGACUUCAUGAAGGCGGAAUCGCUAGUAACCGCGAAUCAGCAGGUCCGCGGUCGAAUACGUUCCCGGGCCUU
rnacentral:rRNA from 1 species